rnacentral:rRNA from 1 species
GAUGAACGCUGGCGGCGUGCCUAAUACAUGCAAGUCGAGCGAACAGACGAGGAGCUUGCUCCUUCGACGUUAGCGGCGGACGGGUGAGUAACACGUAGGUAACCUACCUAUAAGACUGGGAUAACUUCGGGAAACCGGAGCUAAUACCGGAUAAUAUUUCGAACCGCAUGGUUCGAUAGUGAAAGAUGGCUUUGCUAUCACUUAUAGAUGGACCUGCGCCGUAUUAGCUAGUUGGUAAGGUAACGGCUUACCAAGGCAACGAUACGUAGCCGACCUGAGAGGGUGAUCGGCCACACUGGAGCUGGGACACGGUCCAGAGUCCUACGGGAGGGAGCAGUAGGGAAUCGUCGGCAAUAGGCGGAAGCCUGACGGAGCAACGCCGCGUGAGUGAUGGCGGUCUUCGGAUCGUAAUACUGUGUUAUUAGGGAUGAACAACCGUGUAAGGAGCUGUGCACGUCUUGACGGUACCUAAUCAGAAAGCCACGGCUAACUACGUG